rnacentral:lncRNA from 1 species
UGUUGGGCUCGGGAACUGACUCAAGAGUCCUCAGUGACCGUCCAGUUUUUGCACUCUGUCCCAGAGGUUCCCAGGGGCUCUCAACAGGGCUGCUGGAGGGCAGGGACUGUCGGGGGGGAGGUUUUUCAUUUCAAUCAGAGAAAUUUGUUUUCAUUUAUUUUAUUGGUCUUCAUUCUCACGUAUGAACACACUCAAAGGAGGGGUUAUUAAACUGGCGAAGGUUCAGGAGGCACGGGCUUUAUUUUUAUAGAGAUAUAUGGACGCGUAGUAGCUGUUUAGGACGCCAGAGCCAGCAGGUGAAGAGGAGAGCCUGGUCCUUGCCACCUGUGCCUUCUGAGCGCUCCUGAGCCCAGCUGCCUGGCAGUGAAGUGGGGGUGCGCUGCAGGCCACCUCCAGUUUCUCCCCAGCGUGAGCAGAUCGGGAUCGUGUGAUGGGUUACACUGGGGAGGGGUGGAGGUGCUCUUUAGGAGGUAAAGUUGGUGCUGGGUGAGCCCGCGGAGUGUGAGCGUGGGCUGGGGAAGAACCCGGAAAUCGCUCCCCGUUUCUGAGAAAAGGAGCUCAGUCGGGGCGUGCGCAGGAGCCAGAGAGUUGGAAGGUGGCGGGAAGGUGGCGUGUGGUGGAAGAGGGGUAGUUUAUGCAAGUGGCUCUGAGGUGGCGUCUGAACUCAGGGGAAGAAGCGGAGGGCUGAGGCUCUGUGGGGCCCAGCGAUGGGUCUGUAUGACCUUCCUUGGAACCCAGCCCUGUCUUCUAACUUUGGAAAACAGCUUGGAAACCAGC